AACGAACGCUGGCGGCAUGCCUAACACAUGCAAGUCGAACGAGAUCUUCGGGUCUAGUGGCGCACGGGUGCGUAACGCGUGGGAAUCUGCCCUUUGGUUCGGAAUAACAGUUGGAAACGACUGCUAAUACCGGAUGAUGACGAAAGUCCAAAGAUUUAUCGCCAGAGGAUGAGCCCGCGUAGGAUUAGCUAGUUGGUGUGGUAAAGGCGCACCAAGGCGACGAUCCUUAGCUGGUCUGAGAGGAUGAUCAGCCACACUGGGACUGAGACACGGCACAGACUCCUACGGGAGGCAGCAGUGGGGAAUAUUGGACAAGGGGCGAAAGCCUGAUCCAGCAAUGCCGCGUGAGUGAUGAAGGCCUUAGGGUUGUAAAGCUCUUUUACCCGGGAUGAUAAUGACAGUACCGGGAGAAUAAGCGCCGGCUAACUCCGUGCCAGCCGCCGCUGUAA
rnacentral:rRNA from 1 species